CUCAUUUAUAUAUCCUUAUCUCAGUCUGAGAAUUAGAAGAAGAUGGGAAUGAAAUGAUGUUUUUCGGGUAUAAUUAGACACAUUACGAGAGAAAAACAUUAAUUCCAGCCUAUCCAAACACUAUUUAGAAAAUGAAACGAUGAUAUAGAAAAUAGGUGGAAAAAUCGAAAUCUCAUUUAUAUAUCCUUAUCUCAGUCUGAGAAUUAGAAGAGGAUGGGAAUGAAAUGAUGUUUUUCGGGUAUAAUUAGACACAUUACGCGAGAAAAACACUAAUUCCAGCCGAUAGAAACACUACUUAGAAAAUGAAACGAUGAUAUAGAAAAUAGGUGGAAAAAUCGAAAUCUCAUUUAUAUAUCCUUAUCUCAGUCUGAGAAUUAGAAGAGGAUGGGAAUGAAAUGAUGUUUUUCGGGUAUAAUUAGACACAUUACGCGAGAAAAACACUAAUUCCAGCCGAUAGAAACACUACUUAGAAAAUGAAACGAUGAUAUAGAAAAUAGGUGGAAAAAUCGAAAUCUCAUUUAUAUAUCCUUAUCUCAGUCUGAGAAUUAGAAGAGGAUGGGAAUGAAAUGAUGUUUUUCGGGUAUAAUUAGACACAUUACGCGAGAAAAACACUAAUUCCAGCCGAUACAAACACUAUUUAGAAAAUGAAACGAUGAUAUAGAAAAUAGGUGGAAAAAUCGAAAUCUCAUUUAUAUAUCCUUAUCUCAGUCUGAGAAUUAGAAGAAGAUGGGAAUGAAAUGAUGUUUUUCGGGUAUAAUUAGACACAUUACGCGAGAAAAACACUAAUUCCAGCCGAUACAAACACUAUUUAGAAAAUGAAACGAUAAUAUAGAAAAUAGGUGGAAAAAUCGAAAUCUCAUUUAUAUAUCCUUAUCUCAGUCUGAGAAUUAGAAGAGGAUGGGAAUGAAAUGAUGUUUUUCGGGUAUAAUUAGACACAUUACGCGAGAAAAACACUAACUCCAGCCUAUCCAAACACUAUUUAGAAAAUGAAACGAUGAUAUAGAAAAUAGGUGGAAAAAUCGAAAUCUCAUUUAUAUAUCCUUAUCUCAGUCUGAGAAUUAGAAGAAGAUGGGAAUGAAAUGAUGUUUUUCGGGUAUAAUUAGACACAUUACGAGAGAAAAACAUUAACUCCAGCCUAUCCAAACACUAUUUAGAAAAUGAAACGAUGAUAUAGAAAAUAGGUGGAAAAAUCGAAAUCUCAUUUAUAUAUCCUUAUCUCAGUCUGAGAAUUAGAAGAAGAUGGGAAUGAAAUGAUGUUUUUCGGGUAUAAUUAGACACAUUACGCGAGAAAAACACUAAUUCCAGCCGAUACAAACACUAUUUAGAAAAUGAAACGAUGAUAUAGAAAAUAGGUGGAAAAAUCGAAAUCUCAUUUAUAUAUCCUUAUCUCAGUCUGAGAAUUAGAAGAGGAUGGGAAUGAAAUGAUGUUUUUCGGGUAUAAUUAAACACAUUACGCGAGAAAAACACUAAUUCCAACCGAUACAAACACUGUUUAGAAAAUGAAACGAUGAUAUAGAAAAUAGGUGGAAAAAUCGAACUCUCAUUUAUAUAUCCUUAUCUCAGUCUGAGAAUUAGAAGAAGAUGGGAAUGAAAUGAUGUUUUUCGGGUAUAAUUAGACACAUUACGAGAGAAAAACAUUAACUCCAGCCUAUUCAAACACUAUUUAGAAAAUGAAACGAUGAUAUAGAAAAUAGGUGGAAAAAUCGAAAUCUCAUUUAUAUAUCCUUAUCUCAGUCUGAGAAUUAGAAGAGGAUGGGAAUGAAAUGAUGUUUUUCGGGUAUAAUUAGACACAUUACGCGAGAAAAACACUAAUUCCAGCCGAUAGAAACACUACUUAGAAAAUGAAACGAUGAUAUAGAAAAUAGGUGGAAAAAUCGAAAUCUCAUUUAUAUAUCCUUAUCUCAGUCUGAGAAUUAGAAGAAGAUGGGAAUGAAAUGAUGUUUUUCGGGUAUAAUUAGACACAUUACGCGAGAAAAACACUAAUUCCAGCCGAUACAAACACUAUUUAGAAAAUGAAACGAUAAUAUAGAAAAUAGGAGGAAAAAUCGAACUCUCAUUUAUAUAUCCUUAUCUCAGUCUGAGAAUUAGAAGAAGAUGGGAAUGAAAUGAUGUUUUUCGGGUAUAAUUAGACACAUUACGAGAGAAAAACAUUAACUCCAGCCUAUCCAAACACUAUUUAGAAAAUGAAACGAUGAUAUAGAAAAUAGGUGGAAAAAUCGAAAUCUCAUUUAUAUAUCCUUAUCUCAGUCUGAGAAUUAGAAGAAGAUGGGAAUGAAAUGAUGUUUUUCGGGUAUAAUUAGACACAUUACGCGAGAAAAACAUUAACUCCAGCCGAUACAAACACUAUUUAGAAAAUGAAACGAUGAUAUAGAAAAUAGGUGGAAAAAUCGAAAUCUCAUUUAUAUAUCCUUAUCUCAGUCUGAGAAUUAGAAGAAGAUGGGAAUGAAAUGAUGUUUUUCGGGUAUAAUUAGACACAUUACGCGAGAAAAACACUAAUUCCAGCCGAUACAAACACUAUUUAGAAAAUGAAACGAUAAUAUAGAAAAUAGGUGGAAAAAUCGAAAUCUCAUUUAUAUAUCCUUAUCUCAGUCUGAGAAUUAGAAGAGGAUGGGAAUGAAAUGAUGUUUUUCGGGUAUAAUUAGACACAUUACGCGAGAAAAACACUAACUCCAGCCUAUCCAAACACUAUUUAGAAAAUGAAACGAUGAUAUAGAAAAUAGGUGGAAAAAUCGAAAUCUCAUUUAUAUAUCCUUAUCUCAGUCUGAGAAUUAGAAGAAGAUGGGAAUGAAAUGAUGUUUUUCGGGUAUAAUUAGACACAUUACGAGAGAAAAACAUUAACUCCAGCCUAUCCAAACACUAUUUAGAAAAUGAAACGAUGAUAUAGAAAAUAGGUGGAAAAAUCGAAAUCUCAUUUAUAUAUCCUUAUCUCAGUCUGAGAAUUAGAAGAAGAUGGGAAUGAAAUGAUGUUUUUCGGGUAUAAUUAGACACAUUACGCGAGAAAAACACUAAUUCCAGCCGAUACAAACACUAUUUAGAAAAUGAAACGAUGAUAUAGAAAAUAGGUGGAAAAAUCGAAAUCUCAUUUAUAUAUCCUUAUCUCAGUCUGAGAAUUAGAAGAGGAUGGGAAUGAAAUGAUGUUUUUCGGGUAUAAUUAAACACAUUACGCGAGAAAAACACUAAUUCCAACCGAUACAAACACUGUUUAGAAAAUGAAACGAUGAUAUAGAAAAUAGGUGGAAAAAUCGAACUCUCAUUUAUAUAUCCUUAUCUCAGUCUGAGAAUUAGAAGAAGAUGGGAAUGAAAUGAUGUUUUUCGGGUAUAAUUAGACACAUUACGAGAGAAAAACAUUAACUCCAGCCUAUUCAAACACUAUUUAGAAAAUGAAACGAUGAUAUAGAAAAUAGGUGGAAAAAUCGAAAUCUCAUUUAUAUAUCCUUAUCUCAGUCUGAGAAUUAGAAGAGGAUGGGAAUGAAAUGAUGUUUUUCGGGUAUAAUUAGACACAUUACGAGAGAAAAACACUAAUUCCGGCCGGUACAAACACUAUUUAGAAAAUGAAACGAUGAUAUAGAAAUUAGAUGGAAAAAUCGAAAUCUCAUUUAUAUAUCCUUAUCUCAGUUUGAGAAUUAGAAGAAGAUGGGAAUGAAAUGAUGUUUUUCGGGUAUAAUUAGACACAUUACGAGAGAAAAACAUUAACUCCAGCCUAUCCAAACACUAUUUAGAAAAUGAAACGAUGAUAUAGAAAAUAGGUGGAAAAAUCGAAAUCUCAUUUAUAUAUCCUUAUCUCAGUCUGAGAAUUAGAAGAAGAUGGGAAUGAAAUGAUGUUUUUCGGGUAUAAUUAGACACAUUACGCGAGAAAAACAUUAACUCCAGCCGAUACAAACACUAUUUAGAAAAUGAAACGAUGAUAUAGAAAAUAGGUGGAAAAAUCGAAAUCUCAUUUAUAUAUCCUUAUCUCAGUCUGAGAAUUAGAAGAAGAUGGGAAUGAAAUGAUGUUUUUCGGGUAUAAUUAGACACAUUACGCGAGAAAAACAUUAACUCCAGCCGAUACAAACACUAUUUAGAAAAUGAAACGAUGAUAUAGAAAAUAGGUGGAAAAAUCGAAAUCUCAUUUAUAUAUCCUUAUCUCAGUCUGAGAAUUAGAAGAAGAUGGGAAUGAAAUGAUGUUUUUCGGGUAUAAUUAGACACAUUACGCGAGAAAAACACUAAUUCCAGCCGAUACAAACACUAUUUAGAAAAUGAAACGAUAAUAUAGAAAAUAGGUGGAAAAAUCGAACUCUCAUUUAUAUAUCCUUAUCUCAGUCUGAGAAUUAGAAGAAGAUGGGAAUGAAAUGAUGUUUUUCGGGUAUAAUUAGACACAUUACGAGAGAAAAACAUUAACUCCAGCCUAUCCAAACACUAUUUAGAAAAUGAAACGAUGAUAUAGAAAAUAGGUGGAAAAAUCGAAAUCUCAUUUAUAUAUCCUUAUCUCAGUCUGAGAAUUAGAAGAAGAUGGGAAUGAAAUGAUGUUUUUCGGGUAUAAUUAGACACAUUACGCGAGAAAAACAUUAACUCCAGCCGAUACAAACACUAUUUAGAAAAUGAAACGAUGAUAUAGAAAAUAGGUGGAAAAAUCGAAAUCUCAUUUAUAUAUCCUUAUCUCAGUCUGAGAAUUAGAAGAAGAUGGGAAUGAAAUGAUGUUUUUCGGGUAUAAUUAGACACAUUACGCGAGAAAAACACUAAUUCCAGCCGAUACAAACACUAUUUAGAAAAUGAAACGAUAAUAUAGAAAAUAGGUGGAAAAAUCGAAAUCUCAUUUAUAUAUCCUUAUCUCAGUCUGAGAAUUAGAAGAGGAUGGGAAUGAAAUGAUGUUUUUCGGGUAUAAUUAGACACAUUACGCGAGAAAAACACUAACUCCAGCCUAUCCAAACACUAUUUAGAAAAUGAAACGAUGAUAUAGAAAAUAGGUGGAAAAAUCGAAAUCUCAUUUAUAUAUCCUUAUCUCAGUCUGAGAAUUAGAAGAAGAUGGGAAUGAAAUGAUGUUUUUCGGGUAUAAUUAGACACAUUACGAGAGAAAAACAUUAACUCCAGCCUAUCCAAACACUAUUUAGAAAAUGAAACGAUGAUAUAGAAAAUAGGUGGAAAAAUCGAAAUCUCAUUUAUAUAUCCUUAUCUCAGUCUGAGAAUUAGAAGAAGAUGGGAAUGAAAUGAUGUUUUUCGGGUAUAAUUAGACACAUUACGCGAGAAAAACACUAAUUCCAGCCGAUACAAACACUAUUUAGAAAAUGAAACGAUGAUAUAGAAAAUAGGUGGAAAAAUCGAAAUCUCAUUUAUAUAUCCUUAUCUCAGUCUGAGAAUUAGAAGAGGAUGGGAAUGAAAUGAUGUUUUUCGGGUAUAAUUAAACACAUUACGCGAGAAAAACACUAAUUCCAACCGAUACAAACACUGUUUAGAAAAUGAAACGAUGAUAUAGAAAAUAGGUGGAAAAAUCGAACUCUCAUUUAUAUAUCCUUAUCUCAGUCUGAGAAUUAGAAGAAGAUGGGAAUGAAAUGAUGUUUUUCGGGUAUAAUUAGACACAUUACGAGAGAAAAACAUUAACUCCAGCCUAUUCAAACACUAUUUAGAAAAUGAAACGAUGAUAUAGAAAAUAGGUGGAAAAAUCGAAAUCUCAUUUAUAUAUCCUUAUCUCAGUCUGAGAAUUAGAAGAGGAUGGGAAUGAAAUGAUGUUUUUCGGGUAUAAUUAGACACAUUACGCGAGAAAAACACUAAUUCCAGCCGAUAGAAACACUACUUAGAAAAUGAAACGAUGAUAUAGAAAAUAGGUGGAAAAAUCGAAAUCUCAUUUAUAUAUCCUUAUCUCAGUCUGAGAAUUAGAAGAGGAUGGGAAUGAAAUGAUGUUUUUCGAGUAUAAUUAGACACAUUACGCGAGAAAAACACUAAUUCCAGCCGAUAGAAACACUACUUAGAAAAUGAAACGAUGAUAUAGAAAAUAGGUGGAAAAAUCGAAAUCUCAUUUAUAUAUCCUUAUCUCAGUCUGAGAAUUAGAAGAGGAUGGGAAUGAAAUGAUGUUUUUCGUGUAUAAUUAGACACAUUACGCGAGAAAAACACUAAUUCCAGCCGAUAGAAACACUAUUUAGAAAAUGAAACGAUGAUAUAGAAAAUAGGUGGAAAAAUCGAAAUCUCAUUUAUAUAUCCUUAUCUCAGUCUGAGAAUUAGAAGAGGAUGGGAAUGAAAUGAUGUUUUUCGGGUAUAAUUAGACACAUUACGCGAGAAAAACACUAAUUCCAGCCGAUAGAAACACUACUUAGAAAAUGAAACGAUGAUAUAGAAAAUAGGUGGAAAAAUCGAAAUCUCAUUUAUAUAUCCUUAUCUCAGUCUGAGAAUUAGAAGAGGAUGGGAAUGAAAUGAUGUUUUUCGAGUAUAAUUAGACACAUUACGCGAGAAAAACACUAAUUCCAGCCGAUAGAAACACUACUUAGAAAAUGAAACGAUGAUAUAGAAAAUAGGUGGAAAAAUCGAAAUCUCAUUUAUAUAUCCUUAUCUCAGUCUGAGAAUUAGAAGAGGAUGGGAAUGAAAUGAUGUUUUUCGAGUAUAAUUAGACACAUUACGCGAGAAAAACACUAAUUCCAGCCGAUAGAAACACUACUUAGAAAAUGAAACGAUGAUAUAGAAAAUAGGUGGAAAAAUCGAAAUCUCAUUUAUAUAUCCUUAUCUCAGUCUGAGAAUUAGAAGAGGAUGGGAAUGAAAUGAUGUUUUUCGAGUAUAAUUAGACACAUUACGCGAGAAAAACACUAAUUCCAGCCGAUAGAAACACUACUUAGAAAAUGAAACGAUGAUAUAGAAAAUAGGUGGAAAAAUCGAAAUCUCAUUUAUAUAUCCUUAUCUCAGUCUGAGAAUUAGAAGAGGAUGGGAAUGAAAUGAUGUUUUUCGAGUAUAAUUAGACACAUUACGCGAGAAAAACACUAAUUCCAGCCGAUAGAAACACUACUUAGAAAAUGAAACGAUGAUAUAGAAAAUAGGUGGAAAAAUCGAAAUCUCAUUUAUAUAUCCUUAUCUCAGUCUGAGAAUUAGAAGAGGAUGGGAAUGAAAUGAUGUUUUUCGAGUAUAAUUAGACACAUUACGCGAGAAAAACACUAAUUCCAGCCGAUACAAACACUAUUUAGAAAAUGAAACGAUGAUAUAGAAAAUAGGUGGAAAAAUCGAAAUCUCAUUUAUAUAUCCUUAUCUCAGUCUGAGAAUUAAAAGAGGAUGGGAAUGAAAUGAUAUUUUUCGGGUAUAAUUAGACACAUUACGGGAGAAAAACACUAAUUCCAGCCGAUACAAACACUAUUUAGAAAAUGAAACGAUGAUAUAGAAAUUAGGUGGAAAAAUCGAAAUCUCAUUUAUAUAUCCUUAUCUCAGUCUGAGAAUUAGAAGAGGAUGGGAAUGAAAUGAUGUUUUUCGGGUAUAAUUAGACACAUUACGCAAGAAAAACACUAAUUCCAGCCGAUACAAACACUAUUUAGAAAAUGAAACGAUGAUAUAGAAAAUAGGUGGAAAAAUCGAAAUCUCAUUUAUAUAUCCUUAUCUCAGUCUGAGAAUUAAAAGAGGAUGGGAAUGAAAUGAUAUUUUUCGGGUAUAAUUAGACACAUUACGGGAGAAAAACACUAAUUCCAGCCGAUACAAACACUAUUUAGAAAAUGAAACGAUGAUAUAGAAAAUAGGUGGAAAAAUCGAAAUCUCAUUUAUAUAUCCUUAUCUCAGUCUGAGAAUUAGAAGAUGAUGGGAAUGAAAUGAUGUUUUUCGGGUAUAAUUAGACACAUUACGCGAGAAAAACACUAAUUCCAGCCUAUCCAAACACUAUUUAGAAAAUGAAACGAUGAUAUAGAAAAUAGGUGGAAAAAUCGAAAUCUCAUUUAUAUAUCCUUAUCUCAGUCUGAGAAUUAGAAGAUGAUGGGAAUGAAAUGAUGUUUUUCGGGUAUAAUUAGACACAUUACGCGAGAAAAACACUAAUUCCAGCCGAUAGAAACACUACUUAGAAAAUGAAACGAUGAUAUAGAAAAUAGGUGGAAAAAUCGAAAUCUCAUUUAUAUAUCCUUAUCUCAGUCUGAGAAUUAGAAGAGGAUGGGAAUGAAAUGAUGUUUUUCGAGUAUAAUUAGACACAUUACGCGAGAAAAACACUAAUUCCAGCCGAUAGAAACACUACUUAGAAAAUGAAACGAUGAUAUAGAAAAUAGGUGGAAAAAUCGAAAUCUCAUUUAUAUAUCCUUAUCUCAGUCUGAGAAUUAGAAGAGGAUGGGAAUGAAAUGAUGUUUUUCGAGUAUAAUUAGACACAUUACGCGAGAAAAACACUAAUUCCAGCCGAUAGAAACACUACUUAGAAAAUGAAACGAUGAUAUAGAAAAUAGGUGGAAAAAUCGAAAUCUCAUUUAUAUAUCCUUAUCUCAGUCUGAGAAUUAGAAGAGGAUGGGAAUGAAAUGAUGUUUUUCGAGUAUAAUUAGACACAUUACGCGAGAAAAACACUAAUUCCAGCCGAUAGAAACACUACUUAGAAAAUGAAACGAUGAUAUAGAAAAUAGGUGGAAAAAUCGAAAUCUCAUUUAUAUAUCCUUAUCUCAGUCUGAGAAUUAGAAGAGGAUGGGAAUGAAAUGAUGUUUUUCGAGUAUAAUUAGACACAUUACGCGAGAAAAACACUAAUUCCAGCCGAUAGAAACACUACUUAGAAAAUGAAACGAUGAUAUAGAAAAUAGGUGGAAAAAUCGAAAUCUCAUUUAUAUAUCCUUAUCUCAGUCUGAGAAUUAGAAGAGGAUGGGAAUGAAAUGAUGUUUUUCGGGUAUAAUUAGACACAUUACGAGAGAAAAACAUUAAUUCCAGCUUAUCCAAACACUAUUUAGAAAAUGAAACGAUGAUAUAGAAAAUAGGUGGAAAAAUCGUAAUCUCAUUUAUAUAUCCUUAUCUCAGUCUGAGGAUUAGAAGAGGAUGGGAAUGAAAUGAUGUUUUUCGGGUAUAAUUAGACACAUUACGCGAGAAAAACACUAAUUCCAGCCGAUACAAACACUAUUUAGAAAAUGAAACGAUGAUAUAGAAAAUAGGUGGAAAAAUCGAAAUCUCAUUUAUAUAUCCUUAUCUCAGUCUGAGAAUUAGAAGAGGAUGGGAAUGAAAUGAUGUUUUUCGAGUAUAAUUAGACACAUUACGCGAGAAAAACACUAAUUCCAGCCGAUAGAAACACUACUUAGAAAAUGAAACGAUGAUAUAGAAAAUAGGUGGAAAAAUCGAAAUCUCAUUUAUAUAUCCUUAUCUCAGUCUGAGAAUUAGAAGAGGAUGGGAAUGAAAUGAUGUUUUUCGGGUAUAAUUAGACACAUUACGAGAGAAAAACAUUAAUUCCAGCUUAUCCAAACACUAUUUAGAAAAUGAAACGAUGAUAUAGAAAAUAGGUGGAAAAAUCGUAAUCUCAUUUAUAUAUCCUUAUCUCAGUCUGAGAAUUAGAAGAGGAUGGGAAUGAAAUGAUGUUUUUCGGGUAUAAUUAGACACAUUACGCGAGAAAAACACUAAUUCCAGCCGAUACAAACACUAUUUAGAAAAUGAAACGAUGAUAUAGAAAAUAGAUGGAAAAAUCGUAAUCUCAUUUAUAUAUCCUUAUCUCAGUCUGAGAAUUAGAAGAGGAUGGGAAUGAAAUGAUGUUUUUCGGGUAUAAUUAGACACAUUACGCGAGAAAAACACUAAUUCCAGCCAAUACAAACACUAUUUAGAAAAUGAAACGAUGAUAUAGAAAAUAGGUGGAAAAAUGGAAAUCUCAUUUAUAUAUCCUUAUCUCAGUCUGAGAAUUAGAAGAAGAUGGGAAUGAAAUGAUGUUUUUAGGGUAUAAUUAGACACAUUACGCGAGAAAAACACUAAUUCCAGCCGAUCCAAACACUAUUUAGAAAAUGAAACGAUGAUAUAGAAAAUAGGUGGAAAA